rnacentral:lncRNA from 1 species
AUCACACCAUUGCACUCCAGCCUUGGUGACUGAGUGAGACUCCAACCCUCCCCCCACUGCAAAAAAAAACCUGAUAGGAACAGGACUAUAUGACCACAAUAUGGUAAAGAAUCUGAAUUACAAUGUCCAUCAUUCAUAUUUUUUUAAGUAAAACAUUCUUUUUAACAUAAUCUCAUACCACCUUUACUUUACCAUCAUCUAUAUAAGCAGUCCAUUAUGGCAUGCAUCCUUUGCCCAUGCCAACUUGAAACUCCUUUUGGACAUAGACUGUAUGUAUCUGAAUUAAUAUUGUAUUCCCACUUAGGAAGGUGCCUGGCACACCAUAGGUGUUCAGUAAGAUUCAACUGAAUUCAAGUAGGCAGGUCAAACACUCAUGGGGUCAUUAAUUUGUCCAGAUGGACAUUCAAUUCUGCAGAAGUGUCAGAGAUACCCAAAUUUUGCUUCCAUAGUUUUAUUAAAUAUAAACUAAAUGUACAAGCAAGGAGGAAAGGUUAGUUUACAAAUUUUGCUUCUGGAACUCAAGGACUCUGAAAAAUAGUACUUAGUUAACUUUCAGUCCUCCAGAGAAGAUUUUUUUUGGAAAAUAAUGCCAAAGGGAUCUUGUGGCACACAGCCUUCUAACAUGACUCCCAGAAAUCCGCAUCUCCUGGUGUUCAUGCCAUUGUGUAAUUCCCUUCCAUUGAGUGGGGACUGGAUUUAGUGACUUACUUCCGAUAAGUAGAAUACAGCAGAUGUGAUGUGAUACUACUCCUGAGCUUUGGUUAUAAAAGAUUAUCAUUUCUAUCUUUCUGGCAUCCCCUCUCUGGCUCUUAUGGUGUGCUUGCCCUAAAGGAGAGGGCCAUUGGCAAGGAACUGAGGUGGCCUUCGAUCAACAGCCCACAAGGAAUGGAAUCCUGCCAAUAACAAUCAAAUGGUCCGAGGCAUCCAAGCAUGGCCUAUUGCCUGUGUCUUUAUUCUGAACAGAACAGGGCAGCCUUGGGAAAAUGCUGGCUGCUCAGCUAGCUCACUUAAAAAAAAUCACCUGAAGACUUCCUCCAAAUGGUUCAUAACUGAUAGGAGGGGAUGGUUGCUAGUGUUAAGCAAGACGGGACAAAGGAGUGGAGACUGAACUUCAAUCAGAUAAACCCAAUAUUUAAACUGUAAGGUCCUUGGCUAUGGAAGGUGACUGGAGAACCAUUGAUCCCUGCAUUUUAUAGGAAAAGCAAGGGCCCAUUGGAACCUGUUGCUGUUGGUAAGAGUCUUGCUAUUGGUAAGAGACUUGCUAUUGGUAAGAGACUUUCUCUUGUGUCUGGCUGUGGAACUCCUCUAAUAGAGUGUUUGAGAUUCCAGAUUUGGCUUCUUGGCACCCUUUUGUGUGACCAGGAAGGAAUGCCUCCUUCAUACCCUGUCUUUUGUCGCCUCUUCUGAGAGGCACAGACUCUUGGCUAUAACUUAACCUUCUCUUUCUUGGCAAGUGAUUGUCCUGCUGUCACUUGGGCUUCUAUAGCCAGCAGUAUUAUAGAAAGGUUCAGUUUUAGCUGCUUCUGGCAUUUCUAAGUGGUAAUAAAAUAGGCCCUCUAAGACCCCAGGCAAACGUCUAAAGUGCGGCAUCCAAAAUAAAAAAUAAAAACCCUUUUCUUUGACAGAUUCAACUCUUGUUUUAAAGCCCCUAGACUGUUAUAUUCCUAAGAGAAGUUCCUCUCUCUUAUCAUCUCUGCCAAUAUAAUAGCAGGAAAGAAAAUCUGUGCUCUCUUCACUCCAGGACAGUUACGACCUAUUGGAGAACUUUGUCUUAGGGGUUCCUUGGGGAGAACAGUAUGAUCCUUUGCAAACACCAAUCAGAAGAGGAAGACCUUACAUUUUAAAAGCUUUGUAUAGCUUAUCUCAUUUUAUUCUUAUAAUGAUUUUAUGAUAUAUGUAGUGUAUGAUUGGUUUAUAUUUGGUUGGAAGUGACAUAAAACCUGAUUCAAAAUAGAUCAGGCAAACGUGAAUUUGUAUGUAGAAAUGGCUUCAGUCUGAAAUGAUCCAAUCUCAGGUUCAGAUUCAUCGUAUUUUUGGGUGGCUCUGUUCUACAAGUUCCUCUCUUUGUAGCAAAUAGCUAUACUAGUUCAAAGCAUCACAUCUUCAUAGAACCAAGCCAAGCCCUCUUUUAUCCAGCCUGGAGUUUACUUCUACUGGAUUGCGCCAGUGGUGUGCUUGUCCCUUAAGCUGAUUGUGUAGAUUUCUUCCUGGCUUCAAGUUCAAGGAUGUCAUGUUGGUAGCUCAACAUCAGCCAUAGUGGGAAUAUUUAGGCCAUAGAAAUUGGCAAUUGCUGAAAAUAAGGCUUUUAUUAUUUACAGAGCCAGUUGUCAAACAUUUGUCAGCACACCUGUUUGUACCCAACUUUUAAGAUUUACCAGAAAAAUGGGCUUAUGCCAUUCAUAGGUGGCUUAGGUACUAGAAGUGAAGUUCAAUCUCAAUCAAAUUACACAUCUAAAAAGGAGGUAAGAUGGUGACCCAAAAUAUAUUCAGGGCACUCUUACCAAGGAAGAGGGGUAAUGGAUGCUAGCCCUAAACAACAGAUACUUUAUUUUCCACAGAAGGAAAAAAUGCUGGCUCUGUAUUUUCGAUGAAGCAGCUGAGACUCAAGUGCUACUCAGGCUUUCAGUGGAGGAAGUGCUAGAUCUGACACUAGAACCCAAUUCUUCUGCAUGUCAGUUUCAUUGUUCUUUCUUCUACACACUUCACUAUUCUUACCUGACCUCUCCAGGGUCUGCCUAACAUGGAGAUUGCCAAGCCUGGGGAUGAUAUGAGUCAUUUCCUACAAAAUCCUUUACCAAGUGAUAUCCAAACAGCAUUGGGAUAUCACUGCUGAAUGGUGGCAUUUCUCUGCCUGCAUUUCUUUACUGACAUUGAAUUCAGACUAACUUCCCCUCUCUUUUUCUUUUUUGGCAGGCUCUCUUUACAAGGUGAAUUUAGACAUAUGAGCACUCCAGGAGGAGAUCUGAUUUGACAAACAUGUCUAGAAAGAGGAAAAGCAAGCACUGGCAUUAACUUGGCUUCCACUGAGACUAGGCUCCAUUAGUGAACUAAAUGUUGGUAUUCUGGGAAAAGCCAGCUUGUUACUGGAAAUUUUAAUUCUUUGAAAAAAAUGGCAUUAGAUUUGCCUUUGGUUGUUGCAUUCCAAGAGCUCUUGCCUAUGAAACCUUUCUUGAUCAUAGAGUGCAGCAAGUCUACCAGAAUGUUCAAUUUAUCUGCUACCAGUCAUCAUUUCUUGCCCUGGCAGACAUUGCUAAUCAAUCUGAUGCUGACUCAGCUCACAUUUAAACUAAGAUUUCCUGAGAUGAUUCUGUAUGCAACCACUACCAACUGAUGAGUGCUGACAUGAAUAUGAAACCUGUUUGAACUCCUUGUGCUUUUAUGGUGUGUACUUUACAAUGAACUCUGAUCUAUUCACUACCAUUGAGUUUUAGUGGCAUUUGAUAAUGUUGCACUUGAUUAUAUUGUUAUAGUAUCCUCUUUUUUGAUUCAAAUCUGUUAAAAAUUGUUUAUCUCCAAAACGUUUAAGUACCUAGGGCACUUGGACUGUGUUUUAUACUACUUUGUGACCUUCCCAGUGUCAAGAUGGGUACAGACUAGAUGCUCAAUAAAUAUUUGGGUGAUUAAUUACCUAAGGAAUUAGGAUUAAUCACCUAAAGGAUUCUUUGGUUGAUAAACCUAAGGAAUUCAAUAGAAUGGAAGUCUAGGAAAAACUUUGCUUGCAUGGAACUAUCAAAGUAAAGCUUUGGACUGUGAAUAAUUCAGUCAACCUGCAAGCCUCGAUUAUCUGCUCCGAGUUUGUGAAGACCAUUGCUGUUGUCCCCGAGGUGUAUUGAUAAGUUAACAUGAUCGUAACUCUCAAGAUGUUUAUGGUUCAGUACCAGGAGCAAGAGAGAUAAGUGUGAUCAUCAGAAUUGUAGAAAUAUAAAAGUGGUGCAGAGGAGAAAGACUGAGAUGAAUGAAGUUGACAAGGAUAACAGGUUGAACACUCCAUAGUGGAAAGAGGCAGUGAGAUGGGAAAUUAUUCCAUAAAGCUUCCUUCAAAGAGUGUCAGCAAGAUGCAAUGCCAAUGGAAUAGAAAAAUCUUUAGAAUCACAGUGUCAUAUUUGAGGGACCUUUGACUUUACAUGAAAUUACCACUGCAUGAGUACAGCAACACUUUAAUCUUGGAUAUUCCUUUAUUAUUUAUUCAUCCAACCUAGCUUGCAUAAAUAUUUCCUUGGGCUUUUUUGUUUUUCCAUGUUUGUUGGCACUGAUUUUUCAGCAAAGGAGCCUCUUAGACUGAAUGUGCUGUUAAACUGUGGCCUCCUAGGCCUAACCCACUUGAUAGCCUGCAGUUUGUGAUGGUACCUCUGCUGCCCACUCCAACCACAUCCCCUUCUUCUACCUGCCUGAUCCACCCAGAUCCCCUCUGAUUAAUUAUUCACACCUAUAUAUCUUCAACUUCCAUUAGGACCUCCCUCACGUUGUGGUGCUUCUUUACCCGCAAAAUGCAGAGCCCUGGCCGGGUGCGGUGGCUCACGCCUGUAAUCCCAGCACUUAGGGAGGC